UACGUAGGCAGCAAGCGUUGUUCGGAAUUACUGGGCGUAAAGAGUGUGUAGGCGGUGUUCUAAGUCUGUCGUGAAAUCUCCCGGCUUAACUGGGAGGGUGCGGCGGAAACUGGAAUGCUAGAGGAUGGGAGAGGUAAGCGGAAUUCCUGGUGUAGCGGUGGAAUGCGCAGAUAUCAGGAGGAACACCGGUGGCGAAGGCGGGUCUCUGGGCAGUAACUGGCGCUGAGGAGCGAAAGCGUGGGGAGCGAACAGG
rnacentral:rRNA from 1 species